CAUCUCCAAGAUCUUCCCGAGGAACUUUCUCGAUCUCCCUUUGAACAGUCAGAGUCUGAGAACCUUAGUCUCCCAUCAGGUUCUUGCCUCCAGACUCCCUACUAGAAGAAGCCAUAGAAAAAAUCAAAGGUAGAAACUCAAAAAGAGAAGAUAGAGAAGUAUAACCUCAAGAGGGGAACAAUGACGGGAAGACCGACAAGGAAGAAGAAAGACUGACGAUGAUGAAGACCGACAACGAAGGAGAUAGCCGACGGUGAUGAAGCCUAAACCACCCAGAGACCCUAAACUCUAACUGGAAGAUAAAAACUCAAGGGCUGGGGGAUGAAGGCACUGGAAUCAGAAGAAAUGCUAAAGAGG
rnacentral:lncRNA from 1 species